rnacentral:rRNA from 1 species
CAGCCGCCGCGGUAAUACGGAGGAUCCAAGCGUUAUCCGUAAUCAUUGGGUUUAAAGGGUCCGUAGGCGGUCUUGUAAGUCAGUGGUGAAAGCCCAUCGCUCAACGGUGGAACGGCCAUUGAUACUGCAGGACUUGAAUUAUUGGGAAGUAACUAGAAUAUGUAGUGUAGCGGUGAAAUGCUUAGAGAUUACAUGGAAUACCAAUUGCGAAGGCAGGUUACUACCAAUUGAUUGACGCUGAUGGACGAAAGCGUGGGUAGCGAACAGGAUUAGAUACCCCGGUAGUCCCUGUCUCUUAUAC